rnacentral:rRNA from 1 species
GAUGAACGCUGGCGGCGUGCUUAACACAUGCAAGUCGAACGGGAAUUAUUUUAUUGAAACUUCGGUCGAUUUAAUUUAAUUCUAGUGGCGGACGGGUGAGUAACGCGUGGGUAACCUGCCUUAUACAGGGGGAUAACAGUCAGAAAUGGCUGCUAAUACCGCAUAAGCGCACAGAGCUGCAUGGCUCAGUGUGAAAAACUCCGGUGGUAUAAGAUGGACCCGCGUUGGAUUAGCUUGUUGGCAGGGUAACGGCCUACCAAGGCGACGAUCCAUAGCUGGCCUGAGAGGGUGAACGGCCACAUUGGGACUGAGACACGGCCCAGACUCCUACGGGAGGCAGCAGUGGGGAAUAUUGCACAAUGGGGGAAACCCUGAUGCAGCGACGCCGCGUGAAGGAAGAAGUAUCUCGGUAUGUAAACUUCUAUCAGCAGGGAAGAUAGUGACGGUACCUGACUAAGAAGCCCCGGCUAACUACGU